CCUAAUUUAACACGGGAAACCUCAACCAGCCUGGACACAGAAAAGAUUGACAAAAUCUUUCUGUGGGUGGUGGUGAAUGACCAUUCUUAGUUGUUGGAAAGAUUUGUCUGGUUAAUUCUGAAAAUGAACAAAAUGUGGCCUGCUAUUUACACGGCCCUGUGCAUUUGGCAUUCAACUUUUUAGAUGUGCUAGUGGUGUUCAGCCACAUAAAAUUGAGAAUUAGAUGACAAAUAUAAAAUGCCAAAGAAUCUCCAUUGGCCAACAAAGAUUAAU
rnacentral:ncRNA from 1 species